GACGAACGCUGGCGGCGUGCUUAACACAUGCAAGUCGAGCGGUAAGGCCCUUUCGGGGGUACACGAGCGGCGAACGGGUGAGUAACACGUGGGUGACCUGCCCUCAGCUCUGGGAUAAGCCUGGGAAACCGGGUCUAAUACUGGAUAUGACUCCAUGACGCAUGUUGUGGGGUGGAAAGCCUUGUGCGGCUGAGGAUGGGCCCGCGGCCUAUCAGCUUGUUGGUGGGGUGANGGCCUACCAAGGCGACGACGGGUAGCCGGCCUGAGGAGGGCGACCGGCCACACGUGGGACUGAGACACGGCCCAGACUCCGUACGGGAGGCAGCAGGUGGGGAAUCUUGCGCAAGUGGGACGAAAGCCUGACGCAGCGACGCCGCGU
rnacentral:rRNA from 1 species